UACUAUAAUCAAUGUGGGACUAAUUUAAGAGCCAGCUUGGUCCAACUAAAAUUUUUUGCUUCUCAAUGAUAAUAAUUUUAUUAAAAUGUUUGAAAAUUUUAAUGUGUCGAAUAGUAGAAAUGAGAUAAUUAUCGAUCUUGAAAAUAUAAAUUCAAUAUUAGCGCCUAUAGAAUUAAGGAUGGAAAUGGAUUCGGAUCGGUGGAGCUUCUGUCCUGAUCCGUUAUGAAUAGAAAUGUAUAAGAGUCUAUUAUGAUCUGCUGACGUGGCAAAACUAGCUGAUGGUGUCAGCAAAA
rnacentral:lncRNA from 1 species